rnacentral:rRNA from 1 species
AUACGUAGGUGGCGAGCGUUGUCCGGAUUUACUGGGUGUAAAGGGCGCGUAGGCGGGUUCUUAAGUCCGGUGUGAAAUACCUCGGCUCAACCGGGGGGGUGCACUGGAAACUGGGGAUCUUGAGUGCUGGAGAGGGAAGCGGAAUUCCUAGUGUAGCGGUGAAAUGCGUAGAUAUUAGGAGGAACACCAGUGGCGAAGGCGGCUUUCUGGACAGUAACUGACGCUGAGGCGCGAAAGCGUGGGGAGCAAACAGGAUUAGAUACCCUGGUAGUCCACGCCGUAAACGAUGGAUACUAGGUGUGGGGGUUGUCAUGACUUCCGUGCCGCAGUUAACACAAUAAGUAUUCCGCCUGGGGAGUACGGUCGCAAGAUUAAA